UACGGAGGGAGCAAGCGUUACUCGGAAUUAUUGGGCGUAAAGGGCGCGUAGGCGAUUCGAUAAGUCUCAUGUGAAAUCCCAGGGCCUAACCCUGGAAUGGCAUGGGAUACUGUUGGAUUUGAGUUCCGGAGAGGAAGGCAGAAUUCCCGGUGUAGCGGUGAAAUGCGUAGAUAUCGGGAGGAAUACCAGUGGCGAAGGCGGCAUCCUGGACCGGUAUUGACGCUGAUGCGCGAAAGCCAGGGGAGCAAACGGG
rnacentral:rRNA from 1 species